rnacentral:rRNA from 1 species
UACGAAGGGAGCUAGCGUUGUUCGGAAUCACUGGGCGUAAAGCGCACGUAGGCGGAUUUGUUAGUGAGGGGUGAAAUCCCGGGGCUCAACCUCGGAACUGCCUUUCAUACUGCAGAUCUCGAGUCCGAUAGAGGUGGGUGGAAUUCCUAGUGUAGAGGUGAAAUUCGUAGAUAUUAGGAAGAACACCGGUGGCGAAGGCGGCCCACUGGAUCGGUACUGACGCUGAGGUGCGAAAGCGUGGGGAGCAAAC